AAUAAUACGUAGUCUGCGAUAUACA
rnacentral:rRNA from 1 species